rnacentral:rRNA from 1 species
GGGAACGUGAAAGGGACCGACCUUCGGGAGCCUAUACAGGUGUUGCAUGGCUGUCGUCAGCUCGUGUCGUGAGAUGUUCGGUUAAGUCCGCUAACGAGCGCAACCCUCGUCGUAUGUUAUAUGUGUCAUACGAGACUGCCGGUAAAAAGCCGGAGGAAGGUGAGGAUGAUGUCAAGUCAGCAUGACCUUUAUAUCCAGGGCUACACACACGCUACAAUGGUCUGUACAAUGGGUAGCCAAGCCGCGAGGCGGAGCCAAUCCUGAAAGCAGGCCUCAGUUCAGAUUGCAGUCUGCAACUCGACUGCAUGAAGCCGGAGUUGCUAGUAACCGCAGGUCAGCAAUACUGCGGUGAAUACGUUCCCGGGUCUU